rnacentral:rRNA from 1 species
CCUACGGGGGACAGCAGUGGGGAAUAUUGCACAAUGGGGGAAACCCUGAUGCAGCGACGCCGCGUGAGUGAAGAAGUAUUUCGUUACGUAAAGCUCUAUCAGCAGGGAAGAAACACUGACUUUAUGGUUAGCAGACCGUAGCUGACUAAGUAGCACCGGCUAACUUCGUGCCUGCAGCGGCGGUAAUACGUAGGGUGCCAGCGUUAUCCGGAAUUAUUGGGUGGAAAGGGAGAGUAGACGGUGCUCCAAGUCUGAAGUGAAAUGCCUCGGCUUAACUGCGUAACUGCUUUGGAAACUGGGGAGCUGGAGUGCGGGAGGGGUAAGCGGAAUUCCUAGUGUAGCGGUGAAAUGCGUAGAUAUUAGGAGGAACACCAGUGGCGAAGGCGGCUUACUGGACUGUAACUGACGUUGAGGCUCGAAAGCGUGGGGAGCAAACAGGAUUAGAUACCCCAGUAGUC